rnacentral:misc_RNA from 1 species
GAUGAAGAACGCAGCGAAAUGCGAUAAGUAAUGUGAAUUGCAGAAUUCAGUGAAUCAUCGAAUCUUUGAACGCAUCUUGCGCUCCUUGGUAUUCCUUGGAGCAUGCCUGUUUGAGUAUCAUGAGCAAAUCUCAAAGUCAAUUCCUUUUGUUAAUUCAAUUGGUUUUGCUUUGGACUUGGAGGUCUUGCAGAUUUCACAGUCUGCUCCUCUUAAAUGCAUUAGCUGGAUCUCAGUAAUUAUGCUUGGUUCCACUCGGCGUGAUAAGUAUCACUCGCUGAGGACACUGUUAAAAAGGUGGCCAGGAAAAUACUGAUUGAACCGCUUCUAACGGUCUAUUAAGUUAGACAAUUGACCCCUUAAGUUUGAUCUCAAAUCAGGUAGGACUACCCGCUGAACUUAAGCAUAUCAAUAAGCGGAGGA